AUUUGAUGUUGGGGGGAUCUAGUGUAUAACUUAUUGAACCUUUCCCAAUAAUUAUAUAAAGACUCCCCGGGAUAUUGUUUGAUGCAACAUAUCUCCUUCCUCAAACU